CCCUUAGAUGUCCGGGGCCGCACGCGCGCUACACUGAAGGAAUCAGCGUGGCUUUCUCCCUGACCCGAAAGGGUUGGGAAACCCGUUGAAUCUCCUUCGUGAAAGGGAUUGGGGCUUGAAAUUGUUCCCCAUGAACGAGGAAUUCCCAGUAAGCGCGAGUCAUAAGCUCGCGUUGAUUACGUCCCUGCCCUUUGUACACACCGCCCGUCGCUACUACCGAUUGAACGGUUUAGUGAGGGCCUCGGAUUGGUCUCGGCCCGCUCUUUACCGGGCGGCGCCGUUGGUCGAGAAGACGCUCGAACUUGAUCGUUUAGAGGAAGUAAAAGUCGUAACA
rnacentral:rRNA from 1 species